rnacentral:rRNA from 1 species
UACGUAGGGUGCGAGCGUUAAUCGGAAUUACUGGGCGUAAAGCGUGCGUAGGCGGUUCGUUAAGUUCGUUGUGAAAGCCCUGGGCUCAACCUGGGAAUGGCAAUGGAAACUGGCGGGCUUGAGUAUGGCAGAGGGGGGUGGAAUUCCGCGUGUAGCAGUGAAAUGCGUAGAGAUGCGGAGGAACACCGAUGGCGAAGGCAGCCCCCUGGGCCAAUACUGACGCUCAGGCACGAAAGCGUGGGGAGCAAACAGG